CAUGUAUUUAGGCCUGUGUGUGACAGUCCCACAGUCAGAUGCACACAGUUAUACAUAUACACUGUCAAAUCCACCACAUGCACAUAGUCGCAGGCAGGUAGUCACAUACACAGGAUCAGGCAGUAACACACAUGCACAGUUACAGGUAAACACACUCACACACAAUUACAGGCAGACAGCCACACAUAGUCUUACAAACACAUACUUACAUACAGACAGCCACACACACAUACACACACAGGCAGACAGCCAUACAGCCAUACACACACAGGCAGACACACAGACACAAACACUCAUACACAGACAGUCACACACACAGGCAGUCAUACACACACACACAGGCAGACAGUCACACUGACAAUCACACAUAGUUACCUCUGUUCAUUAUGGAGGCAGUGCAGCUCCUGGAGACUGUUUGUUGGGGAAGCAGGGACACCUGCCUGCUUCCCCUGCAGCAGUAAUCCGGCACUUUUAGAUCUGCCCCUGCCGUCAGUUUAGCUCCACCUCUGCCGCAGGGAAGCUCAACACCUGCCGCAUUUUUUUUUUUUCAAUCGCGGUCGGCCAUGUGUGAGCUGUGUUGGCCACAUGGCGCCCCCUGCUCCAUGACGCCCUGUGCAGCCGCACACCCUUAAGGCUGGCCCUGGAUACAUUAACGUUUAUAUUUUUCGUUUUCAUAUUAUGUAGUUUGUGUUGCAGAAUGAAUUGUAACAUGGAUUUUUAAUGUAUAUUUGUAAACUUUGAUUAACAUGUAACUCCCAGAUCAUUAUUACUAGAGCCUGCUGAGUGUCUCGGCUAAGAAUUACUCUCUGGGAACAGCUUUAAUGUUAGUGAGCCAAUG